AUUGAACGCUGGCGGCAUGCCUUACACAUGCAAGUCGAACGGUAACAGGCCGCAAGGUGCUGACGAGUGGCGAACGGGCGAGUAAUGCAUCGGAACGUGCCCAGUUGUGGGGGAUAACUGCUCGAAAGAGCAGCUAAUACCGCAUACGACCUGAGGGUGAAAGCGGGGGAUCGCAAGACCUCGCGCAAUUGGAGCGGCCGAUGUCAGAUUAGGUAGUUGGUGGGGUAAAGGCCUACCAAGCCGACGAUCUGUAGUUGGUCUGAGAGGACGACCAGCCACACUGGGACUGAGACACGGCCCAGACUCCGACGGGAGGCAGCAGUGGGGAAUUUUGGACAAUGGGCGCAAGCCUGAUCCAGCAAUGCCGCGUGCAGGAAGAAGGCCUUCGGGUUGUAAACUGCUUUUGUCAGGGAAGAAAUCCUCUGGGUUAAUACCCCGGGGGGAUGACGGUACCUGAAGAAUAAGCACCGGCUAACUACGUGCCAGCAGCCGCCGUAA
rnacentral:rRNA from 1 species